rnacentral:rRNA from 1 species
AGCUUGCUCUUAUGAAGUUAGCGGCGGACGGGGCAGAACACGGAUGGGUAACCUGCCCAUAAGACUGGGAUAACUCUCGGGAAACCGGGGCUAAUACCGGAUAACAUUUUGAACCGCAUGGUUCGAAAUUGAAAGGCGGCUUCGGCUGUCACUUAUGGAUGGACCCGCGUCGCAUUAGCUAGUUGGUGAGGUAACGGCUCACCAAGGCAACGAUGCGUAGCCGACCUGAGAGGGUGAUCGGCCACACUGGGACUGAGACACGGCCCAGACUCCUACGGGAGGCAGCAGUAGGGAAUCUUCCGCAAUGGACGAAAGUCUGACGGAGCAACGCCGCGUGAGUGAUGAAGGCUUUCGGGUCGUAAAACUCUGUUGUUAGGGAAGAACAAGUGCUAGUUGAAUAAGCUGGCACCUUGACGGUACCUAACCAGAAAGCCACGGCUAACUACGUGCCAGCAGCCGCGGUAAUACGUAGGUGGCAAGCGUUAUCCGGAAUUAUUGGGCGUAAAGCGCGCGCAGGUGGUUUCUUAAGUCUGAUGUGAAAGCCCACGGCUCAACCGUGGAGGGUCAUUGGAAACUGGGAGACUUGAGUGCAGAAGAGGAAAGUGGAAUUCCAUGUGUAGCGGUGAAAUGCGUAGAGAUAUGGGAGGAACACCAGUGGCGAAGGCGACUUUCCGGGUCUGUAACUGACCACUGAGGGCGCGAAAGCGUGGGGGAGCAAACAGGAUUAGAUACCCUGGUAGUCCACGCCCGUAAACGAUGAGUGCUAAGUGUUAGAGGGUUUCCGCCCCUUUAGUGCUGAAGUUAACGCAUUAAGCACUCCGCCUGGGGAGUACGGCCGCAAGGCUGAAACUCAAAGGAAUUGACGGGGGCCCGCACAAGCGGUGGAGCAUGUGGUUUCUCUUCGAAGCAACGCGAAGAACCUUACCAGGUCUUGACAUCCUCUGACAACCCUAGAGAUAGGGCUUCUCCUUCGGGAGCAGAGUGACAGGUGGUGCAUGGUUGUCGUCAGCUCGUGUCGUGAGAUGUUGGGUUAAGUCCCGCAACGAGCGCAACCCUUGAUCUUAGUUGCCAUCAUUAAGUUGGGCACUCUAAGGUGACUGCCGGUGACAAACCGGAGGAAGGUGGGGAUGACGUCAAAUCAUCAUGCCCCUUAUGACCUGGGCUACACACGUGCUACAAUGGACGGUACAAAGAGCUGCAAGACCGCGAGGUGGAGCUAAUCUCAUAAAACCGUUCUCAGUUCGGAUUGUAGGCUGCAACUCGCCUACAUGAAGCUGGAAUCGCUAGUAAUCGCGGAUCAGCAUGCCGCGGUGAAUACGUUCCCGGGCCUUGUACCCCCCGCCCUCCACCACGAGAGUUUGUAACACCCGAAGUCGGUGGGGUAACCUUUUGGAGCCAGCCGCC